rnacentral:rRNA from 1 species
ACUCCUACGGGAGGCAGCAGUAGGGAAUCUUCCACAAUGGACGAAAGUCUGAUGGAGCAACGCCGCGUGAACGAUGAAGGCCUUCGGUCGUAAAGUUCUGUUGUAAGGGAAGAACAAGUGCCGCAGGCAAUGGCGGCACCUUGACGGUACCUUGCGAGAAAGCCACGGCUAACUACGUGCCAGCAGCCGCGGUAAUACGUAGGUGGCAAGCGUUGUCCGGAAUUAUUGGGCGUAAAGCGCGCGCAGGCGGCCUCUUAAGUCUGAUGUGAAAGCCCCGGCUCAACCGGGGGAGGGCCAUUGGAAACUGGGAGGCUUGAGUAUAGGAGAGAAGAGUGGAAUUCCACGUGUAGCGGUGAAAUGCGUAGAGAUGU